rnacentral:rRNA from 1 species
GACGAACGCUGGCGGCGUGCUAACCCCUUCAAGUCGAACGGAAAGGCCCCGCUUUUGGUGGGGUCCCGAGGGGCCAACGGGGGAAUAAACCGGGAGUUACCUUGCCCUUACUUUUGGGUUACUUUCAGGAACCUGGGGCUAUUCCCGGUAGGGGCUCCUUCCGGAUUGUUGGGGGUUGGAAGUUUCGGCGGUUGGGGAUGGACUCGCGGCUUAUCAGCUUGUUGGUGGGGUAGUGGCUUACCAAGGCCUUGACGGGUAGCCGGCCUGGGAGGGUGACCGGCCACAUUGGGACUGAGAUACGGCCCAGACUCCUACGGGAGGCAGCAGUGGGGAAUAUUGCACAAUGGGCGGAAGCCUGAUGCAGCAACGCCGCGUGCGGGAUGACGGCCUUCGGGUUGUAAACCGCUUUCGCCUGUGACGAAGCGUGAGUGACGGUAAUGGGUAAAGAAGCACCGGCUAACUACGUG